CCUACGUGGUGCUGCAGUGGGGAAUAUUGGACAAUGGGCGAAAGCCUGAUCCAGCCAUGCCGCGUGUGUGAAGAAGGCCUUCGGGUUGUAAAGCACUUUCAGUGGGGAAGAAAGCCUUGGGGCUAAUACCCUCGAGGAAGGACAUCACCCACAGAAGAAGCACCGGCUAACUCCGUGCCAGCAGCCGCGGUAAUACGGAGGGUGCGAGCGUUAAUCGGAAUUACUGGGCGUAAAGCGCGCGUAGGCGGUCUGAUAAGCCGGUUGUGAAAGCCCUGGGCUCAACCUGGGAACGGCAUCCGGAACUGUCAGGCUAGAGUGCAGGAGAGGAAGGUAGAAUUCCCGGUGUAGCGGUGAAAUGCGUAGAGAUCGGGAGGAAUACCAGUGGCGAAGGCGGCCUUCUGGACUGACACUGACGCUGAGGUGCGAAAGCGUGGGUAGCAAACAGGAUUAGAUACCCGAGUAGUC
rnacentral:rRNA from 1 species